UCAGUCGGCCGGACGGCCGCUCCGGCAAGUGCCGAAAGGCCGCCGGGGAGGAAAGUCCGGGCUCCCUUGACAUACGGUGCCGGAUAACGUCCGGCGGGGGCAACCCUAGGGAAAGUGCCACAGAGAACGAACCGCCCGCCGACGCAGCGCAAGCUGCGCAGGCGGGUAAGGGUGAAAAGGUGCGGUAAGAGCGCACCGCGGGUCCGGCAACGGAGCCGGCAUGGUAAACCCCACCGGGAGCAAAACCGAAUAGGGACGGCGUCGCGGGCCGUUCGCGCAAGCGAUAACGCCGCGGGGCGAUGUCAGGCCCGCCGUCCGGGUAGGUUGCUCGAGGCCAUGUGCAAACAUGGUCCCAGAGGAAUGGCCGUCACGUAUCGUUUGCGCAAGCGGACGGUGCCCUACAGAACCCGGCUUACAGGCCGGCUGAUAUC
rnacentral:RNase_P_RNA from 1 species